UACGGGGGGGCAAGCGUUGUUCGGAAUUACUGGGCGUAAAGGGCUCGUAGGUGGCCAACUAAGUCAGACGUGAAAUCCCUCGGCUUAACCGGGGAACUGCGUCUGAUACUGGAUGGCUUGAGUUUGGGAGAGGGACGCGGAAUUCCAGGUGUAGCGGUGAAAUGCGUAGAUAUCAGGAAGAACACCAAUGGCGAAGCAGCUCUCGUGGGACGGUACUGACGCUGAGACGCGAAAGCGUGGGAGCGAACAGGAUAGA
rnacentral:rRNA from 1 species